GCCUGGAUAGUUCAGUUGGUUAGAGUGUGGUUCUGAUAAAACCAAGGUUGCAGGUCUGAUCCCCAUAUGGGACA